GGGUUGGCAACCUGGAAUCCAAGAAAAGGUAGCUGAUUGGGAUGAAAAUUUGGACAAGUUUGAAGAUUAAGAAAGUCGCAAUCAAGAAGAUGGAUAUACAAGUUUCAAAGGAAUUUCUUGCUAAACUGAAGAUAUUGGGGCAAAAAAUAUCUCAAACUUCAUCUCUAAUUAUGCAAUUAGUGUGCCAAAUUUAGCGGUGAGGAACUUCUCAUGAAUGCUACUUGUAAUUUCCUUGAGGCCGCAAUUUUCUGAAGCACUUUUGCACUACAAGCAGUUUGCUCUUCCUAUUUUUAAGUAUACAAGCCACCUGUAUUAACUCAAAUAAACUUAAAUGGUGUAGUUUUCAAUUAAUUAUUCUUACAAUUUUAGUUACAAACUUGAAGUUUUUUUUCUUGAUAAGUGAAAAUUUGCAAAUAUUCAAUGUGCAUGUCCAACUAGACAUAUUGGACAAAUAUUUCAUAUCCUUACUCAAGUGUCGAGUGUCUGAUAUGGUUAAUUAACAAAUUUAGAAGAGCA